GAUGAACGCUGGCGGCGUGCCUAAUACAUGCAAGUCGAGCGAACGGACGAGAAGCUUGCUUCUCUGAUGUUAGCGGCGGACGGGUGAGUAACACGUGGAUAACCUACCUAUAAGACUGGGAUAACUUCGGGAAACCGGAGCUAAUACCGGAUAAUAUUUUGAACCGCAUGGUUCAAAAGUGAAAGACGGUCUUGCUGUCACUUAUAGAUGGAUCCGCGCUGCAUUAGCUAGUUGGUAAGGUAACGGCUUACCAAGGCAACGAUGCAUAGCCGACCUGAGAGGGUGAUCGGCCACACUGGAACUGAGACACGGUCCAGACUCCUACGGAAGGCAGCAGUAGGGAAUCUUCCGCAAUGGGCGAAAGCCUGACGGAGCAACGCCGCGUGAGUGAUGAAGGUCUUCGGAUCGUAAAACUCUGUUAUUAGGGAAGAACAUAUGUGUAAGUAACUGUGCACAUCUUGACGGUACCUAAUCAGAAAGCCACGGCUAACUACGUGCCUGCAGCCGCGGUAAUACGUAGGUGGCAAGCGUUAUCCGGAAUUAUUGGGCGUAAAGCGCGCGUAGGCGGUUUUUUAAGUCUGAUGUGAAAGCCCACGGCUCAACCGUGGAGGGUCAUUGGAAACUGGAAAACUUGAGUGCAGAAGAGGAAAGUGGAAUUCCAUGUGUAGCGGUGAAAUGCGCAGAGAUAUGGAGGAACACCAGUGGCGAAGGCGACUUUCUGGUCUGUAACUGACGCUGAUGUGCGAAAGCGUGGGGAUCAAACAGGAUUAGAUACCCUGGUAGUCCACGCCGUAAACGAUGAGUGCUAAGUGUUAGGGGGUUUCCGCCCCUUAGUGCUGCAGCUAACGCAUUAAGCACUCCGCCUGGGGAGUACGACCGCAAGGUUGAAACUCAAAGGAAUUGACGGGGACCCGCACAAGCGGUGGAGCAUGUGGUUUAAUUCGAAGCAACGCGAAGAACCUUACCAAAUCUUGACAUCCUUUGACAACUCUAGAGAUAGAGCUUUCCCCUUCGGGGGACAAAGUGACAGGUGGUGCAUGGUUGUCGUCAGCUCGUGUCGUGAGAUGUUGGGUUAAGUCCCGCGACGAGCGCAACCCUUAAGCUUAGUUGCCAUCAUUAAGUUGGGCACUCUAAGUUGACUGCCGGUGACAAACCGGAGGAAGGUGGGGAUGACGUCAAAUCAUCAUGCCCCUUAUGAUUUGGGCUACACACGUGCUACAAUGGACAAUACAAAGGGCAGCGAAACCGCGAGGUCAAGCAAAUCCCAUAAAGUUGUUCUCAGUUCGGAUUGUAGUCUGCAACUCGACUACAUGAAGCUGGAAUCGCUAGUAAUCGUAGAUCAGCAUGCUACGGUGAAUACGUUCCCGGGUCU
rnacentral:rRNA from 1 species